ensembl:lncRNA
CUGAGAAAACAGGCUCAAAGAGGUUGCGUACUCAAUUGCAUCCAACUCUUUGCAACCUCCCAGACUGUAGCCCACCAGGCUCUUCUGUCCAUAGGAUUUGUCAGGCAAGAAUACUGGUGUGGGUUGCCAUUUCCUUCUCUGGGGGAUUAUCAUGACCCAGGAAUCGAACCUGUGUCUCUUGCACCUCUUGCAUUGGCAGGCGGAUUCUUUACCACUAGCACCACCUCAGAGAGGUUGAGGUUGAGUCAAUUUUUCACAUUCACAUGCUAAAAAGUGAUGGCUUUGAACCAAGGUACAUUGCAUUGAGAAGGGGCUCUGAAAGCACCCUUGAGCUGAAUUCUAGGAAAGGCCAACCCCCGUGUGGUCAUUAUGAAUGUGGUCUUCUGGUUUUCUUCCAUCUGGGGCAUGACAAAGUCAGAGUUGCACAUACCUGCCCCUUUGAGGUCAGGAUCAUGAUUUUAUGACUAAUUAGUCAUGACUGAUGCAUCAAGUCUCUCUGUCUCCCUGAUGAAGGAAUUACCCUACGUUUCUAACUGAACCUGAUCAAGAGGACAGGUCAUGCUUAGGAGACUGCAGUAGUUGGAUUUGGGAUGGACCCAUUGCUUACCUCAAAGUCACCUGAACGAAGUAGAUUAAAAAUGGGAAAUUGAGAGGCUUCCCUGGUGGCUCAGUGGUGGAGAAUCUGCCUGCAAAUUCAGGAGACACAGGUUCGAUCCCUGGCCUGGGAAGAUCCCACAUGCCA